UACAGAGGGGGCAAGCGUUAUUCGGAAUUAUUGGGCGUAAAGGGCGCGUAGGCGGCGAUUCAAGUGACGGGUGAAAUCCCUCGGCUUAACCGAGGAACUGCCUGUCAGACUGGAUGGCUUGAGACCGGGAGAGGUGAGUGGAAUUCCCAGUGUAGCGGUGAAAUGCGUAGAUAUUGGGAGGAACACCAGUGGCGAAGGCGGCUCACUGGACCGGAACUGACGCUGAGGCGCGAAAGCGUGGGGAGCAAACAGG
rnacentral:rRNA from 1 species